GAGUGAACGCUGGCGGUAGGCCUAACACAUGCAAGUCGAACGGCAGCACAGUAAGAGCUUACUCUUACGGGUGGCGAGUGGCGGACGGGUGAGGAAUACAUCGGAAUCUACUUUUUCGUGGGGGAUAACGUAGGGAAACUUACGCUAAUACCGCAUACGACCUACGGGUGAAAGCAGGGGAUCUUCGGACCUUGCGCGAUUGAAUGAGCCGAUGUCGGAUUAGCUAGUUGGCGGGGUAAAGGCCCACCAAGGCGACGAUCCGUAGCUGGUCUGAGAGGAUGAUCAGCCACACUGGAACUGAGACACGGUCCAGACUCCUACGGGAGGCAGCAGUGGGGAAUAUUGGACAAUGGGCGCAAGCCUGAUCCAGCCAUACCGCGUGGGUGAAGAAGGCCUUCGGGUUGUAAAGCCCUUUUGUUGGGAAAGAAAAGCAGCAGGUUAAUACCCCGCUGUUCUGACGGUACCCAAAGAAUAAGCACCGGCUAACUUCGUG
rnacentral:rRNA from 1 species